CGGGGGGCAGCAGUAAGGAAUAUUGGGCAAUGGACGAAAGUCUGACCCAGCCAUGCCGCGUGAAGGAUGACGGCCCUACGGGUUGUAAACUUCUUUUCUCUGGGGCGAAAACCUUCCAUUCUUGGGAAUUUGACAGUACCAGAGGAAUAAGCACCGGCUAACUCCGUGCCAGCAGCCGCGGUAAUACGGAGGGUGCAAGCGUUAUCCGGAUUCACUGGGUUUAAAGGGUGCGUAGGUGGGCCUGUAAGUCAGUGGUGAAAUCCCCGAGCUUAACUUGGGAACUGCCGUUGAUACUAUAGGUCUUGAAUCUCGAGGAGGUAAGCGGAAUAUGUCAUGUAGCGGUGAAAUGCUUAGAUAUGACGUAGAACACCAAUUGCGUAGGCAGCUUACUACACGAGCAUUGACACUGAGGCACGAAAGCGUGGGGAGCAAACAGGAUUAGAUACCCCAGU
rnacentral:rRNA from 1 species